ensembl:Y_RNA Y_RNA Y RNA
GGCUAGUCUGAAGGUAGUGAGUUGUCUCGACUGUUUACAGUCAGUUACGGAUCCAACUCCCUUCUCACUACUGCACUUGACUAAAGA